UGAAGAACUACACAGAGGGAGACAACAAUGUCAUCACUAAAACAUGGACCCACAGCUGCAGGUGGAUUUCCAUACCGAGAUGAAGGAAGACUCAGACAUCGCCUUCCAUUUCCGAGUGUACUUUGGUCAUUGGGUGGUCAUGAACAGCCGCGUGAAUGGGGCUUGGCAGUAUGAGGUGACAUGCCACAAUAUGCCCUUUCAGGAUGGUAAACCAUUUAACCUGUGCAUCUCCGUGCUGGCCGAUGAGUACCAGCCGUUCAGAAUAAUAUCCUACGUUUUGCAACACCUGUUUUGUUCCUCCUCUCUGAAAACAUUUGAAUUUCCUUCUUUGCCACCACCAUUACAUCUCUGGGCAACUCCAAGGAGAAACUGGGCCAUCAGCAGUCAUAGUGAAUGGGAGUUAUAGUUCAUGGAACUGAAAUGUAUGCAUUCAAUGAACACUGUCCAGCACUAACCCCAUGGCAGGCCCUGUGCAAGACGCAAGGAUUGAAGUUCAUGAGAGACAGUCCCAGGCCAUAGGGAUCUUCCAGGUGAGAGGAGAGGCUGAGCAAACAGGUUCUGUGAUACACAGGGUGGUAAAACCUCCUUGGAGGAAUGAGAGGAAGCAUUGGAAAUAAAUGAGCAACUGUCUGAAGUAGGCACAAGGGUAAUCUGCAGAGAGAAGUGUGUCUACUGGGUUCUGAUGUAUAAUUAGGGGAUUUCUGGUUGGAUGCUGUAGGCACUAGGGCUGAGUGAGAUGAUGCUGAAAACUUGUUUGAUGGCAUAUUGUAUUUCUGAUGCAUUUUUUUCUUUUGUAGGUAAUGGUAAAUGGCCAAAAUGCUUACAGCUUUCCCCACCGACUCCCACCAUCUUAUGUGAAGAUGGUGCAAGUGUGGAGAGAUGUCUCCCUGACCUCAGUGUCUGUCUGUAAUUGAUGAAAUGAUCACAUUCCUCAUGGUUAAAGAAUCCCUGUUUCUGUGCGACCAUGGCAUUUCCAGAGCCUGCUAACAGAACGAUCACUCCUCACCCCUUCCUCUACACUUGGUCAUUAAAACUUCACCAAAUUUUCCAGAAUCUGGUUCUUACUUUCAUGGAGAAAAAGACAAAGUGGCACAAGGACACAAGUGACACAAGGCCACUGUGAUGUCUGAGAUUACAUAACGAAGACAUCCUUUUAUGUCAGCCCGUACUUUACGUCAGACACUCUGAACCAAAAUUCCUCCUUCAUUGUAGAUGACUCACUCCAGUGAAAUGUUGGGUAGCUGUUUACAACCUCACAGGCAUAAUUGAUUUUGGGGAGAAGCUUUGUAAUUUGAGGAAAGUCAUAUGAAAUGUCUUCAUUCUUGCACUCAUUCUAAGGAUGUUUCCUGUGUCUUAAUACUGUGUCUGGCGUUGUGCAGGAAGCACUGAAAAAGCCGAGGAAAUACUGACCAAGUUUGCACCUGAAAUUUUGUUUUGUUGUUGUUCUUUGAGACAAGUUCUUGCUCUGUCAUUCAGGCUGGACUGCAGUGGCACCAUUAAGGCUCACUGCAGCCUCGACACCCUGGGCUCAAAAAUUCCUCCUGCCUCAGCCCCCCAAGUAGGUGAGACCACAGGUGAGCACCACCAUGGCCAGCUAAUUUCUGCAUGUUUUUUUUGUAGAGAUGGGGUUUUGCCAUGUUGCCCAGGCUGGUGUCGAACUCCUGAAGUCAAGCAAUCCAGCAACCUCGGCCCACCAAAUUGCUGGCAUUACAAGUGUGAGCCCCUGUGCUUGGCCUAUACCUGAAAAUUUCAAUCCAAGCCAUAGUUAGAGAACCACAAGAGUUCAAUAAUUUCCCUCAAAAAAUCCCUUUGUCAUGUUCAAAAGAACUGCCAGAUUUUUCUAUUUUAUGUGGGCAGAAUCCUGGAUCUCCUCUUUGGAAAUAAAUGGUCAUAGUUUUAGAUCGGAAAAUAUGUCAUUUAUUGGUGGAAUGAACACAAUUCAUUCACAUGGACACAGUGAGCCGACCCUGCUUUGCUGCUGCUACCGUUGGCAUUGCAGAACCGGAAACCUCCCCAAC
ensembl:lncRNA LGALS17A galectin 14 pseudogene